GCGAACGCUGGCGGCAGGCUUAACACAUGCAAGUCGAGCGGGCACUUCGGUGUCAGCGGCAGACGGGUGAGUAACACGUGGGAACGUACCCUUUGGUUCGGAAUAACGCUGGGAAACUAGCGCUAAUACCGGAUACGCCCUUUUGGGGAAAGGCUUGCUGCCGAAGGAUCGGCCCGCGUCUGAUUAGCUAGUUGGUGGGGUAAUGGCCUACCAAGGCGACGAUCAGUAGCUGGUCUGAGAGGAUGAUCAGCCACACUGGGACUGAGGCACGGCCCAGACUCCUACGGGAGGCAGCAGUGGGGAAUAUUGGACAAUGGGCGCAAGCCUGAUCCAGCCAUGCCGCGUGAGUGAUGAAGGCCUUAGGGUUGUAAAGCUCUUUUGUCCGGGACGAUAAUGACGGUACCGGAAGAAUAAGCCCCGGCUAACUUCGUG
rnacentral:rRNA from 1 species